rnacentral:rRNA from 1 species
AACGAACGCUGGCGGCAGGCUUAACACAUGCAAGUCGAACGGGCCCUUCGGGGUCAGUGGCAGACGGGUGAGUAACGCGUGGGAACGUGCCCUUCAGUUCGGGAUAACCCAGGGAAACUUGGGCUAAUACCGGAUACGUGCGAGAGCAGAAAGGUUUAUCGCUGAAGGAUCGGCCCGGGUCUGAUUAGCUGGUUGGUGGGGUAACGGCCUACCAAGGCGACGAUCAGUAGCUGGUCUGAGAGGAUGAUCAGCCACACUGGGACUGAGACACGGCCCAGACUCCUACGGGAGGCAGCAGUGGGGAAUAUUGGACAAUGGGCGCAAGCCUGAUCCAGCCAUGCCGCGUGAGUGAUGAAGGCCUUAGGGUUGUAAAGCUCUUUUGUCCGGGACGAUAAUGACGGUACCGGAAGAAUAAGCCCCGGCUAACUUCGUGCCAGCCGCCGCAGUAAAAC